rnacentral:rRNA from 1 species
GACGUAGGGGGCAAGCGUUGUCCGGAGUUACUGGGCGUAAAGGGCGUGCAGGCGGUGCAGUAAGUUUGGAGUGACAGUACCCGGCUCAACUGGGUAAGGCCUCGAAAACUGCUGGACUUGAGGGCCAGAGAGGGACAUAGAAUUCCGGGGUGGAGUGGUGAAAUGCGUAGAUAUCCGGAGGAAUACCAAAGGCGAAGGCAGUGUCCUGGCUGGCAUCUGACGCUGGAGGCGCGAAAGCUAGGGGAGCGAACAGGAUUAGAUACC